UACGGAGGGAGCAAGCGUUACUCGGAAUUAUUGGGCGUAAAGGGCGCGUAGGCGAUUUGAAAAGUCUUGUGUGAAAGCCCCGAGCUUAACUCGGGAAGUGCACAAGAAACUGUUGAAUUUGAGUUCCGGAGAGGAAGGCAGAAUUCCCGGUGUAGCGGUGAAAUGCGUAGAUAUCGGGAGGAAUACCAGUGGCGAAGGCGGCCUUCUGGACGGAUACUGACGCUGAGGCGCGAAAAGCCAGGGGAGCAAACGG
rnacentral:rRNA from 1 species